CCAGCCCGAGCCUGCGGCCACGGUCGCCACCCAUACACGCGCCAUCGGCAUCAUCCUUCCCCCGCCCGACAUCCGCGUGAUUAUCGAGAAGACGGCCACCUUCGUCGCCAAGAACGGUCCCGAGUUCGAGCGCCGCAUCGUCGCCCUCAACCGGGGCAACGCCAUGGUCAACUUCCUCCAGUCCUCCGACCCCUACCACGCCUACUACCAGCACCGCAUCUCCGAGCUCGCCGCCCAGCCGCCUACCACCGACGCCUCCGCCUCCGCCGCGCCGGAGUCCGAGGAUGGCCAGCAGCUCCCAUCCGACUCUGCCGCACCUGCUGCUGAGAACUAGCUUUACAUGAAAAUACAUGUAGCCUUGGAAAGAGAAAUUUUUUGGUUGUCCAAUUGUGCGGUUUCUCCUACAUUCUCUGAUUCUGGUUGCACGUAUGCUAUCUUGAUCCAGUGUGCUAUUCAUUUUUGUCAAUGCAAGAGUAAACAAACUUGCUUCUUACUUGCAGCUUCGUAUUUGCUUGAAAUAAAAAUCAUAUGCACAGGAUUUGUUCAGGCUGCAGUACUUAUGUAAACAUGUAUAUUGGUGUAAAAACAACAAAGAUAUGGUCAAAGAUUAAAUGCAGUUACAAAAUUUGGUUUGUAGUUUCAGUUUUGGUUGUUCUCGUUUGUACAAAAGCCUAACCAAAACGAUAAUAAAUUUGACAUUUUGUACAAAACACAAAACUGACCAAAUUUACAAAAUAUCUUAUUCUCGUUUAGGUUAGGCUUUUGUCAGGCAUUUAUUUGAGCUCUACGCACAAAUCUGAACUUUAUUUCACAUGGUGCUAUGUCAUAUGUAGUUUGUGCGAGAACUUUAUUUAAAUCUUUGUCUUGUUUACAUUGGAUGAAACGCGCCGGGAAUAUUUGAUUUGAUUUUGCCUUAUGAUAUUAGCAAUUUAGCUGUUACUUCUAAAGGACAUGCCGAAAGAGCAAAACUAAUCUUUAAAAAAACACAAAAGGGAUCAAAGCCAUUCUCAUGAACCAAAUGCAAUGAAGAGAUUUUACACAGCAGUCUGUGCGCAAAAUGGUAUUCUAUUGUGCUAAUUGCUGAUGAAUCAGUGUAUCUUUUUCAAAAACAUUCAUUCAUUUAACAAGUGCUUACAAUCGUUCGACCAUACGACAUAGAUUUUCUCUAGGACGGGCCCCAGCCCCCAGGUAGGGCUGUCCAAAAAUAUACACUGAUUCAUCUGCUCCCUCCGGGUAAAAUUACUUGUUGAAAUAUUACAUGUAUCUAGACGUAUUUACACAUGGAUAGACAAGUAAUACCGGUCGGAGGGAGUAGCAAAGUUCAUGGGCAACAGCAUUUGCUGUUCUCGCUUCUUUCCUAACAGUCACCUGGACAAAAGAUUCGAACAGAAUUUUAAUUUCGUUGAUGAUCGGUGCCAGCAAGGAUCUGUCAGCCACUGGAGCAUUCAGGCACUGCACGACGCGCGGACAGUCAGAGGCCAGGCCAGGAUGAUGGGUGUAUUUCUCAUGACUCUUGAGGCUUCAAUUCCUAACAAUAACUAUGUGCAAUUGUAUUUCUUAUACUGUAGGACUCUUGAGUUCCAGCCACAGCCCACAAAAAAAGGUUGAGCCGUAUCUUCCCUGGUUAGGAUUUAAGAGGAUGCUUCUUUUUUGCGGGAAAGAGGAUGCUUGUACGACAAAAAUAAUAAUUUAUUUUGUUAAUUAGAGUAUGGAUAUAUUAUGAAUAAGUAACAUUCCCGGUCAAAAAAAAAACAAGUAAUAUGCACUGAGGAUAGAUAAAUGAAAGGCUGAGCAGCAAGAACAUCGUAUAUAGAUCGGGGCAAUCAAAACUGAAGCUGCAGAAAGGAGUCAAAAACUCAAACCCCUCUCCCCUUUAAAGUAGCUACUAUGUAAACCAUUUGGUAUCUCGAUUCCAGUAUUGUAAUUGUCUCCUCUUAAUCAGUCUUAUGUUAACAGAACGACAUGUUUAAAAUUAAUGGUCGAGAACCGCGGUAUGAGUAGUUUUCGAUAAUACAAUGAGUGAUCUGUCUAUUUCUUUAUUGCCAUGCUCUCGUACUCAAAUAGUUGAUUCAUUGUUGACAACCGUGGUAUCAUAUUUUUCGAUAAUACUGAGUGAUCUGUUCUAUUUUUUAUUGUUAUGCUCUUGUACUCAAAUAGGUGAUGUUACACUUGUGAUAAUAGGGACCAUGACCAUGUUUUUGUUCCAUGACCAUGUUUUUUUUCCAUUGUUCGUGUCCAUUACAUUACUAGUUUUGCGUCCACACCGUCACAAUUAAUGAUUAUAGGACUUGGAAUAUACUUCUACACAAACAACAAUGCCUGAUUGUAUCUAAAUAGUGACUACAUGGCAUUCCUUUUAGGUUUGUCAUUUUCUUGUUAACCAUGUUUAUCUCUCCGUUGCAUUCCUUUUAAUAGGAAGGUUUCCGUGGUUAGUUUCGUACGUCAUCAUUUGUCCGAAAGAAAAAACAUCGGGGGAGUACGUCCCCAUCGCACGGUAUCCGUUAGAAAGGAAAACCAUGGUGCGAGUAUGUCCCCGCUGACGUUCAUGGUGGGCUUGCCCAUGGCUUCCCAACAGGCCCAGCCCAGCCAGCACCGUACCUGGAUGGAGCCGCCGUCGAGCCUCGACGAAGCCGCCGCCGUGCCUGGUCGCCACGUCCGCUCCUGGACGGGAGCCCUCCGGCAUCUCCGCUUGUCGGAGAUGCAUAAGGUCGUUGUUGGGUUCCACUACGGCGCCCCUCCCUACAACACCGCGUCCUCCAUCCCCUCCCCGUUGGCAUCUCCACCAACCAAUCCAAACACAGACACACACAAUUCAAGACUUGUGAAUUGAUUGCCCGUGUUUGUCCAACUUCAUGUAAUUUUUAUUUACUCGUGAAUUGAUCUACUCAAUAGUCAUUUACACUUCAAUCAGAGUAAUCUUUAGAUGUUAAUGAGAUUAAUUGUUUAUACAAUGUGUGGUAAUUUUUUCUGAAUUCAUGAUUUGAUUCCAAACAAGCCAAUGGGUUUGCCCUUGGAGAUGCACAACAUGGUAAACACUAUUGUCAUUGCCAUCUCAGUAAAAAUAUGUGGUUCUUAGUUCUAGCACCAGGGUUAGCAUUAUAGGUGCCUGAAUAUUUGUUUGUUGGCCUCGGUCGAAUUCGAUGAAAAUUCGACGACGAAGACCUCAAUAACAUUGUUGGAGAGGAUGAUCGAAUGGUUGUGGAGUAUACGCAUCCCUACUCCUCUCCUGACGAUUUUGAUGAAGACAUAAUUUUUUUCCCUCCAAUGACGUCAUUUCAGCCGGACCACUUGCUACAUGUGCGCCAACGGUCUUCAUCAAAAUCGUCAGGAGAGAAGUAGGGAUGCGGAUACUCUAUAACCGUUGGCGCACCUGUACCAAGUGGUCCGGCUGAAAUGUCGGUCAUCGGAGACAGGCGAAUUUUGUACACUUCGGCCUAGAGAUAUAACUUUUCCCUCCCUUCCCUUUGCAACGCACGGUCACGUUUUCCUAGUAAAUCUUACGGAAUGGAUCGCCACCGUCCAACUUCUACCGACUUAACGCGUAACCCGACCCAAUCGGCCCCGUUGAUCUGACUCUCCCACCCCUCCAGUCCUCUCGCGUCGCCGGGUCGCCCACAUCCUUUCCGAUCUAAACCUCCGUCUGGUUGCCGAAACCCUAGAGACCGCCGCCGCCGCCGCCGCCGUUCCCCAUGGGAGCCCCCAUGGUGGCCCCCAUGCUCCUCCUCCCCGCGCCGGACGGCGACGGCGACCACCAGCAGCAACAGCAGAUGUCUCCCGCGUCCGCCGGCGCCGCCCCCUCCAAGCCCGAGCCCGCGCCGACGGUCGCCACCCAUACGCGCACCAUCGGCAUCAUCCAUCCGCCGCCCGACAUCCGCGUGAUUAUCGAGAAGACGGCCACCUUCGUCGCCAAGAACGGUCCCGAGUUCGAGCGCCGCAUCGUCGCCCACAACCAGGGCAACGCCAAGUUCAACUUCCUCCAGUCCUCCGACCCCUACCACGGCUACUACCAGCACCGCAUCUCCGAGCUCGCCGCCCAGCCGCCUACCACCGACGCCUCCGCCGCGCCGGAGUCCGAGGAUGGCCAGCAGCUCCCAUCCGACUCCGCCGCACCUGCUGAUGGCGCCGAUGCGAAGCCCGACCACUCUGCACCCUUCCGCAUCCCGCCGCCGACCAAGGUGCUGGUGCCACCCAAGGCGGAGCUCUACACGGUGCGGCUGCCUGAAGGGAUCACCGGGGAGGAGCUGGACAUCAUCAAGCUGACCGCGCAGUUUGUGGCACGGAAUGGGAAGAGCUUUCUGACGAGCCUGGCUCAGCGAGAGAGCAACAAUCCGCAGUUCAACUUCAUCCGGCCCACGCACAGCAUGUUCACUUUCUUCACAAUGCUAACAGAUGCAUACUCGAGGGUGCUGAGGCCGGAAGAGGGUGUGCCUGCUUUGAUUAGGGAGCUGCAGGAGGGGUCGAAGGACCUCACUACGGUGCUGGAGCGGUGCCUGAACCGGUUGGAGUGGGACCGGUCGCAGGAGCAUGC
rnacentral:lncRNA from 1 species